rnacentral:tRNA from 1 species
GAGAAGGUGACGGAGUGGUCAAACGUGCUUGGCUGUAAACCAAGUUCUAAAGAAGAUACGCUGGUUCGAGUCCAGCUCUUCUCA